rnacentral:rRNA from 1 species
CCCGCAACGAGCGCAACCCUUAUCAUUAGUUGCUAACAUUCAGUUGAGAACUCUAAUGAGACUGCCAGUGAUAAACUGGAGGAAGGUGGGGAGUGACGUCAAAUCAUCAUGCCCCUUACUGACCUGGGCGUACACACGUGCUACAAUGGCGCGUACAGAGGGCUGCCAACUCGCGAGAGUGAGCCAAUCCCUUAAAACGACGUCGUAGUCCGGAUCGGAGUCUGCAACUCGACUCCGUGAAGUCGGAAUCGCUAGUAAUCGCGAAUCAGAAUGUCGCGGUGAAUACGUUCCCGGGCCUU